rnacentral:rRNA from 1 species
GAUGAACGCUAGCGACAGGCCUAACACAUGCAAGUCGAGGGGCAGCAUGGUAUCAGCUUGCUGAUACCGAUGGCGACCGGCGCACGGGUGAGUAACGCGUAUGUAAUCUGCCUGUAACAGAGGGAUAACCCGGAGAAAUCCGGCCUAAUACCUCAUAGCACAUAUUAUUCGCAUGAGUUUUAUGUUAAAGAGACUCGGUUACAGAUGAACAUGCGUUCCAUUAGCUGGUUGGCGGGGUAACGGCCCACCAAGGCAACGAUGGAUAGGGGUUCUGAGAGGAAGGUCCCCCGACACUGGUACUGAGACACGGACCAGACUCCUACGGGAGGCAGCAGUGGGGGAUAUUGCGCAAUGGGGGAAACCCUGACGCAGCAACGCCGCGUGAAGGAUGAA